ensembl:lncRNA
AUGCGUUGUUGUGAGUUUUCUGGGUCCGGAUUGUGGUUUUGUGGUGUGGUUGUAGUCACGAUGCGUUGUUGUGAGUUUUGUGGGUCCGGAUUGUGGUUUUGUGGUGUGGUUGUGUUGUUACAACUGGGAGGAAAGGCUUUUGCGUUGUGUUGGAAGUUUUGUAUUUCUGGGACAUUUAGUUGUGUGCCAAGUUUCGUAUUUCUGUGGCGUUUAGUUGUGUUGUUANNNNNNNNNNNNNNNNNNNNNNNNNNNNNNNNNNNNNNNNNNNNNNNNNNNNNNNNNNNNNNNNNNNNNNNNNNNNNNNNNNNNNNNNNNNNNNNNNNNNUGGUUUUAGGUUUGGUGGAUUGUUAAUAAGUCCACCGAUUGCGUUUGUUUGGUGAAGCUUUUGGUGGGCUCCCAAUGGUGGUUUUUUGUGGUGUGAUUGUGUUGUUACAACCGGGAGGCAAGGUUUUUUGCCGUUGUUUUUGUCAAGUUUUGUAUUUCUAGGGCGUUUAGUUGUGUUGUUAUAGUCAUGAUGUGUUGUUGUGAGUUUUGUGGGUCUGGAUUAUGGUUUUGUGGUGUGGUUGUGUUGUUGUAACCGGGAGGCAAGGCUUUUGCAUUGUGUUGCCAAGUUUCGUAUUUCUGUGGUGUUUAGUUUUGUUGUUAUAGUCACUGCGCCCGCAACUUUAUCCUUUUAUAUAUAUAGAUAUAUUCAAGACAUGGAUGAAUGGAGGAACACAGGGACAGGUAUUUCCCAUAGCAUAGGAAUACCACAGUUCAGGAAGAGACAGAGAGAAGCUGUCUUAUAUGUUCUCAGUAAUAGAUGUUGAUGGAAUUGAGAUAAAGCCCUUCUUCACAAUCUUAAUACUUGAUUAGACACAUAUUGGCCAAUAUGGUUUUUCAUAGUCUGAAAGAUAGCAAAACAAAGCACAUUAAAACGCAUCAAAGCGCACCAUUUUUAUAAUAGCAUCAUCAUCAAAAUGCACAUUUAAAAGAUCUUUCUUUCAAUAAAGGAAAAGCACUUUUUGCUAUGUCUGGACUUAAUGCUAUGCAGAAUAACCAGAAAUGAAAUUAUGACAAGAUGGUGUCUCCAGAGUAUGUGUGCCUUAGUGAUUCUCAUGUGAAGAAUAUAGCUUACUACCAGAAAAACUACUAAACUGUUGACAGGUUUGCAUUUUGUCAGAAUCAAAAGUGUUGUAAGUUUAUUCAUCUUUGUCAUUGGAGAUAAAAAGUAGCCAUAAUGGUUUAGAAUGGCUUUUACCAACUCUGACUGGUAUAUCAGCCUACUUUCUCCUGAAAAUUCCUAACUUGAUCUGCCUCUGUUGGGUGAACACCAUUGGAUGCCCUUCUCCUAUCAUAUUAAUGCUUUACUGUGAACACUAAGCCAAAGAUGGUCAAAGUGUGAGCAGGCGAAAAUUUUCUUGAACUGAAAGACCAACAGGUGCAAUUAUUUUGUGUUUUAAACAAUGACAUUUUGAUAAUUGUAUUAUUGUAUAGUGCUCAAAAUUUGUUUUUAAAAGUUACAGAUAUUUUUAAAGGCAUGGUUUUAGCAGUGAUAUUAAGAAGUGCCAUAAUAACAGGUCCCUAACAUUUCCACGUGCCCUCCUUUUAAAUCACAUUGUAUUCCUGCCUAUUUUUCUUGCACCAAUGCUUCAGGAAUUUAAGCUGUAAAGGAAGAUAGAUAAACUUAGCAUGGAUUGCAGAAGAUCUGCUGUCUUCUUGGCUGGAAACAAAAAACCUGAGAAUCAAGUCAUUGUGCAGUGCAGGUGAAAGGCCAACCUGCUCUCAUGUGAAAAAUAAGCAAUAGGUACAAAGUACACACCCGUGGUUACGCAAGCUGUGUUUGCAACUUAUCUGUCAUGCAGAACCUGCUCCAAGCAUUACUCACAAAGAAACAGAAAGCAGUUUUUAUAUGGAUUUAGGCCAUACAAGGCAAUAUUGCCAGUGUAAUGCUGGCAUUAUCAGGUGGUUCUGUUAUAUAACAGAUUUCUGACGCAUUGUUACAACAAUUGAAGCAGUGUUUCUUUCUAUGUGCCUCUAAACAAAUUUAAAUUAUUUGGAUACAAUUUUUCCCCAUCAUGGGAAUUUCUGUGCACCCAGAGGUAAGCCUUCUGUGAAAUCCUCUCUGAGAACUCCUUCCUUAAAAAACAUUUGUCUUUUAGUUGGCUUUCUUCAAGCUUUUGAAGUCAUUAUUUUAUGUCUACCUUUCAUAUAAUCAGACACAAAGGA